rnacentral:rRNA from 1 species
UGAGGAAUAUUGGUCAAUGGGCGAGAGCCUGAACCAGCCAAGUCGCGUGAGGGAAGACGGUCCUACGGAUUGUAAACCUCUUUUGUCGGGGAACAACAGGGGGCACGCGUGCCUUUGUGAGUGUACCCGAAGAAAAAGCAUCGGCUAACUCCGUGCCAGCAGCCGCGGUAAUACGGAGGAUGCGAGCGUUAUCCGGAUUUAUUGGGUUUAAAGGGUGCGCAGGCGGCGCGCCAAGUCAGCGGUCAAAGUUCCGGGCUCAACCCGGUGUCGCCGUUGAAACUGGCGUGCUCGAGUGCGUGCGAGGAAGGCGGAAUGCGUUGUGUAGCGGUGAAAUGCAUAGAUAUGACGCAGAACUCCGAUUGCGAAGGCAGCUUUCCAGCGCGCUACUGGCGCUGAGGCACGAAAGCGUGGGGAUCGAACAGGAUUAGAUACCCUGGUAGU